rnacentral:rRNA from 1 species
GACGAACGCUGGCGGCGUGCUUAACACAUGCAAGUCGAACGGAAAGGCCCUGCUUUUGUGGGGUGCUCGAGGGGCGAACGGGUGAGUAACACGUGAGUAACCUGCCCUUGACUUUGGGAUAACUUCAGGAAACUGGGGCUAAUACCGGAUAGGAGCUCCUGCUGCAUGGUGGGGGUUGGAAAGUUUCGGCGGUUGGGGAUGGACUCGCGGCUUAUCAGCUUGUUGGUGGGGUAGUGGCUUACCAAGGCUUUGACGGGUAGCCGGCCUGAGAGGGUGACCGGCCACAUUGGGACUGGGAUACGGCCCAGCCUCCUACGGGAGGCAACAGUGGGGAAUAUUGCACAAUGGGCGGAAGCCUGAUGCAGCAACGCCGCGUGCGGGAUGACGGCCUUCGGGUUGUAAACCGCUUUCGCCUGUGACGAAGCGUGAGUGACGGUAAUGGGUAAAGAAGCACCGGCUAACUACGUG